UACGUAGGCAGCAAGCGUUGUUCGGAUUUACUGGGCGUAAAGGGUGUGUAGGCGGUUUUUUAAGUUUGGUGUGAAAUCCCCGGGCUCAACCCGGGAACUGCGUCCGAUACUGGAAGGCUUGAAUCCGGGAGAGGGAUGUGGAAUUCCAGGUGUAGCGGUGAAAUGCGUAGAUAUCUGGAGGAACACCGGUGGCGAAGGCGGCAUCCUGGACCGGCAUUGACGCUGAGGCGCGAAAGCCAGGGGAGCAAACGGG
rnacentral:rRNA from 1 species